CCGCUCCGUGCCCAUGUAUUUCUUGCCGUACAUGCUCUUCUCAACCCACACGCCGUAGGCCUGCACGAUCUUCUGGUCGACAUCCGCGAGCAACGGGAAGGGAAGCUGAUGCUUCUUGAUGAACUUCUCGUGGCUCGCGACCGAAUCGGGACUAACGCCAAAGAUUUCGCCGCGCUUCUCCAUCUCGGCCCACGAGUCACGCAACGCGCAGGCCUGCGUCGUGCAUCCCGGCGUGUCGUCCUUCGGGUAGAAAUAGAGGACCACAGGGCGGCCGCGGAGAUCCUCCAGUGCGACUUCACGCCCGCCGGCGUACUUCCCGCCGACCGCGGUUGCACGGAAAUCCGGCGCGGUAUCUCCUACCUUCAAUUCAGAAGCCAUGGGCGCAGCUUCAGUGUUCCAGCACAA
rnacentral:misc_RNA from 1 species